UCAAAGCAAGGCACUGAAAAUGCUUAGAUGGAUAUAUUAUCCCAUAAACA
rnacentral:tRNA from 1 species